GACGAACGCUGGCGGCGUGCCUAAUACAUGCAAGUAGAACGCUGAAGGAGGAGCUUGCUUCUCCGGAUGAGUUGCGAACGGGUGAGUAACGCGUAGGUAACCUGCCUGGUAGCGGGGGAUAACUAUUGGAAACGAUUGCUAAUAACGCAUAACAGUAGAUAUCGCAUGAUAUCUGCUUGAAAGGUGCAAUUGCAUCACUACCAGAUGGACCUGCGUUGUAUUAGCUAGUUGGUGAGGUAACGGCUCACCAAGGCGACGAUACAUAGCCGACCUGAGAGGGUGAUCGGCCACACUGGGACUGAGACACGGCCCAGACUCCUACGGGAGGCAGCAGUAGGGAAUCUUCGGCAAUGGACGGAGGUCUGACCGAGCAACGCCGCGUGAGUGAAGAAGGUUUUCGGAUCGUAAAGCUCUGUUGUAAGAGAAGAACGAGUGUGAGAGUGGAAAGUUCACACUGUGACGGUAUCUUACCAGAAAGGGACGGCUAACUACGUG
rnacentral:rRNA from 1 species